UGAGCCUGCGCGUCCGGAGCCUGUGCUCCACAACGGGAGAGGCCACAACAGUGAGAGGCCCGCGUAAAACAAACAAAAAAAAAGAGUGUUCAGUAUCUCUUCCCAGCCUCACCGUUAUUUCUGUCCGUGGUAAAGUGGGAAGCAUUCGGAAAGGCAAACUGCUCUUAGUUUUACUAUGACUCACAAUGAGCUCAAGUCAGGCGCCCAGGACCACUGCCACCAGCAACUGCUGCAUCCAGAGCAUCAUCAUAAGCACCUUCCAUUUGAUGUAAUUACUGACCACAGACAGAGGGACUUGACCAAAAGCCACAGAUGGUGACCUGGGGCCCAGAGAGGUGCUGCCUUGCCCAAGAUCACACACCUGGUUAAAAGCAGAAACAAGUCUAGAACUCAAAGCUCCUGAUUCCUGGCCCAGGGUCUUUAUUCUUACACUACCAUCCUGCCCCACUGACUGUUUUCCGAAUAUUUACUAUUAUUCCUUCCUAAUACAAUUGAAAAUGUAUAACCAUUGGUUAUUUAAUGACAAAUCAUAGAGUUGCAAAAUCUAGCAUUUAUGAAAGGAGCCAGUCACAAAAGACCACAUAUCAUAUGAUUCCGUUUAUAUGAAAUGUCCCGAAUAGGCAACUCCAUAGUGAUAGAAGUAGAUUAGUAAAUUACCAGGAGCUGGGGCAAAGGGUGGAAAUGGGUAUGGGUUUCUUUUGGGGGGUGAUGAAAUGUUCUAAAA